rnacentral:rRNA from 1 species
GAUCAUGGCUCAGGAUGAACGCUAGCUACAGGCUUAACACAUGCAAGUCGAGGGGCAGCAGGGAUUUAGCUUGCUAAAUCCGCUGGCGACCGGCGCACGGGUGCGUAACGCGUAUCCAACUUUCCCGUUACUCAGGGAUAGCCUUCCGAAAGGGAGAUUAAUACCUGAUGGUGUUUGAAGUUCGCAUGUUCUUCAAACUAAAGAUUUAUCGGUAACGGAUAGGGAUGCGUGACAUUAGAUAGUAGGCGGGGUAACGGCCCACCUAGUCUACGAUGUCUAGGGGUUCUGAGAGGAAGGUCCCCCACACUGGAACUGAGACACGGUCCAGACUCCUACGGGAGGCAGCAGUGAGGAAUAUUGGUCAAUGGCCGGAAGGCUGAACCAGCCAAGUAGCGUGAAGGAUGAAGGUUCUAUGGAUUGUAAACUUCUUUUAUAUAGGAAUAAAACCUCCCACGUGUGGGAGCUUGUAUGUACUAUAUGAAUAAGCAUCGGCUAACUCCGUG